UUCAAUCCUUCCAUCCACUCCUUUUUCAACUGGUUUGAUAGAUCUUCAUUAUACUCUCCCAAUUCACUGACUUGAGCCUCUAGUUUCAAGAUCUGGACAUCUCAAAGUUCUAACUGAUGUUGCUACUAACUCAUCCAUUUUGCAAUAUCUUCAAUUGAUACAUGUGACCGACUCUUCACUGUUAACUCUUCACUGUUAACUCUUAACUGAAACUACUACUCUCAAAUACACAAGGAACACAAGAAAUGGCAUUGCAAGCAAUCCAAAACAACACCACAGAAUGACUUUAACUGGUACAUUACUCCUAUUCUUUUACUACCUGGUGAUAAUGACAAGACGUUACC
rnacentral:lncRNA from 1 species